rnacentral:rRNA from 1 species
UACGUAGGGGGCAAGCGUUGUCCGGAUUUAUUGGGCGUAAAGAGCGUGUAGGCGGCCUGACAGGUCUGCUGUGAAAACUCGAGGCUCAACCUCGAGCUGUCGGUGGAAACUAUCUGGCUAGAGUCCGGAAGAGGAGAAUGGAAUUCCUGGUGUAGCGGUGAAAUGCGCAGAUAUCAGGAAGAACACCCGUGGCGAAGGCGGGUCUCUGGGCCGAUACUGACGCUGAGGAGCGAAAGCGUGGGGAGCGAACAGG